rnacentral:tRNA from 1 species
UGGCUCAGUGGUAGAGCCCUUGCCUUGCAUGCCUGAGGCCCUGGGUUCAAUUCCCAG